ACCUCAGCUACUAUAUCAACUAGUGAAAAGAAAAGUUAGGAAAAAGAGAAACACGGCCAUUCAGAGUGGACUUCCCUGCUGAAGGAUCCUUGAAAUAUGCAGCACUUCUGAGAGCCGGUUGAAUUAUUAACCUCAUCUCUUACCGUAGCCGUAGCUCGUGUCGCUGCUCCAGUCUUAGGAGCACGCUCUGAAAGGAGCACACACUCUCGGAGUGCAUUAACUCUUUAGCCACAUGACUAGCAUGAAUAGCACAGAAAGGACGGGUUGCACACACACACACACACACACACACACACACACACACACACACACACACACACACACACAGGAAAAAGAUAAGCAUCCACACAGUGUUUAUUUCAGUAACAUGUGGCAUAGAACGCACAGCUAGGACCCUCCUCCUCGCCCCGGCUCUGUCACAAAGCGAGCUGCUGAAGGCUGCAGCUGAAACCUCGCAGCUAUUUUGGCACAAAGUCAAAAGGCUGAUAAGCAUUUUUGGGUGAGACUUUGCUGCUUUUUUUUUUUCCUAGAGGAAAAACAGCUGCCACUGCCGGGUAGAGCACACUCAGGGAAAUGUUUGUGAGAAAACCCCACAGCAUGCGGAUCCGUCCUGCUUAAGAGCGAGCAGAUUUAAAUGAGAGGGAACAGUUAAUCGGGGGGGGGGGGGGGGGGGGGGGGAUCGUGAACAGGAUGGCUGUGUUUCCACCAUCUUAGAUUGUAUUGAUUAUUCUUUGCUUUAAACGUCUGUCUCCCUCACACACGCUAGCUCUCUUUCUCUCCCUCUCUGUCCCUCCCUCUCCUCUUUCUGCCACCUUCCCUACUCACCGAUCAGCAUUUGGCUUUUUCCAUUUGUGGCAGAUUACUGUAACGCUAUUGUACAACAACUUCCUGCCUCUUUUGGCUCUGCUUCUUAAAAAAAAAAAAAACGGCACAGGCAGAGCAUCGUGACUUGAACUUUUUUUCCAUCUCGGCCUUGUACUGCAGGAGCACUGAAGGACAGAAAAGGAGGAAGGGGAUAUGUAAAGCGUGUUUUCUGUUACUGAGGAACUAUUCUGAGUGCAUUUCUGCUCUAUAAAACUGCUGCGAUGUAAAGAGGGGACUACAUGCCUAGCAGAGACAAUGAAAGAAAGAAAAAAAAAAAAAAAAGAUUUGUAAAGAAGAAGAGGAGGAAAAGAGCAGGAGGAGAGUUUCUCCUGGGAUCAGACUGGAAAUUAUGGACCUAUUUGAUAUCAGAGCUCCGAGUGGACAACCUAUCCAAAGAGGGACGCGCCCUAACUGUAACUAACAACUACUUCUGGCAGCCCUUCAACAGCCAAACAUAUUGUGCUCCAUGAGAGCAGCUUUCUGCAUGGCAGCAUCGACCUGGAGCAACUCAGGAAAGAAACACAGAAUGAGGAUUAUAAUGCUAAUAAGAAUAAAUAAAUAUACAUAAAUACA